UUUCCGUAGGUGAACCUGCGGAAGGAUCAUUACAGAGUUCAUACCUUCCCGGGUCGUGCGAACACACUACUAUUUGUAUACCUUAGUUGCUUUGGCAGGCCGUGGAAACACCAUGGGCUCAGGCUUAUGCGUGCCUGCCGGUGGAAAAAAAAUCUGUUUAUAGUGAUGACAGAGUACUAUAUAAGAGUUAAAACUUUCAACAACGGAUCUCUUUGUUCUGGCAUCGCAGAAGAACGCAGCAGAUCGCGAGAGAACACAUCUGACCUCCAGUCACCAUUC
rnacentral:misc_RNA from 1 species